rnacentral:tRNA from 1 species
GCCGAAGUGGUGGAAUGGCAGACACACGGGACUUAAAAUCCCGAGGAGUUUUCUCCGUACGGGUUCGACCCCCGUCUUCGGCACCA